rnacentral:rRNA from 1 species
UCUUCGGAAAUGGAUUUAGUGGCGAACGGGUGAGUAACACGUAGGUAAUCUACCAUAUGGUUGGGGAUAGCUCCUGGAAACAGGGAUUAAUACCGAAUAAUCUCUUAUUUAUAAAAGUAAAUUUGAGGAAAGAAGCUUUAUAGCUUCGCCGUUUGAUGAGCCUGCGCCCAAUUAGCUUGAUGGUGAGGUAACGGCUCACCAUGGCGACGAUUGGUAGCCGGCCUGAGAGGGUGACCGGCCACAUUGGAACUGAGACACGGUCCAGACUCCUACGGGAGGCAGCAGCUAAGAAUCUUCCGCAAUGGGCGAAAGCCUGACGGAGCGACGCCGCGUGGACGAUGAAGGCGCUAUGCGUUGUAAAGUCCUUUUAUAGGAGAAGAAUAAGUUAGUAGGAAAUGGCUAGCGAUGACUGUAUCCUAUGAAUAAGCAUAGGCUAAUUACGUGCCAGCAGCCGCGGUAAUACGUAAUAUGCUAGCGUUAUUCGGAAUUACUGGGCGUAAAGGGUGCGUAGGCUGUUAAAUUAGUCGGGUGUGAAAUCCCACGGCUCAACCGUGGAACUGCGCCCGAAACUGUUUAACUAGAGUCUGGGAUGGGAAGACGGAAUUCCUGGUGUAGGAGUGAAAUCUAUAGAUAUCAGGAAGAACACCGGAGGCGAAGGCGGUCUUCUGGCCUAAGACUGACGCUGAGGCACGAAAGCGUGGGGAGCGAACGGGAUUAGAUACCCCGGUAGUCCACGCUGUAAACGUUGUACACUAGGUGUUAGUGGUAUCGAUCCCACUAGUGCCGCAGUUAACGCAUUAAGUGUACCGCCUGGGGAGUAUGCUCGCAAGGGUGAAACUCAAAGGAAUUGACGGGGGCCCGCACAAGUGGUGGAGCAUGUGGUUUAAUUCGAUGAUACGCGAAGAACCUUACCUGGGCUUGACAUAUACCGGAAUGUCUGGGAAACUAGGCAGUCCUUCGGGACUGGUAUACAGGUGCUGCAUGGUUGUCGUCAGCUCGUGCCGUGAGGUGUUGGGUUAAGUCCCGCAACGAGCGCAACCCCUAUGUUUUGUUGCCAUCGGGUAAUGCCGAGCACUCGAAACAAACUGCCAGUAAAAACUGGAGGAAGGUGGGGAUGACGUCAAAUCAUCAUGGUCCUUAUGUCCAGGGCUACACACGUGCUACAAUGGGUGGUACAAAGGGCAGCAAUACCGCAAGGUGGAGCAAAUCCCAAAAAGCCAUCCUCAGUCCAGAUUGCAGUCUGAAACUCGACUGCAUGAAGUUGGAAUCACUAGUAAUCGCGGAUCAGCAACGCCGCGGUGAAUGCGUUCCCGGGCAUUGUACACACCGCCCGUCACACCAUCCGAAUUGAUAUACCCGAAGUCAUUGGGCUAACCGUAAGGAAGCAGAUGCCGAAG